GAUGAACGCUGGCGGCGUGCCUUAAGCAUGCAAGUCGGACGGGAAUGAGUCGCAAGAUUCAAACCAGUGGCGGACGGGUGAGUAUAUGCAAGGAACGUACCUCUUAUUGUGACAUAGCUCGUCGAAAGACGGGGUAAUAUCGCAUGACCCCUCACGGGGAAAGCGCGUAACUGCGCGGUGAGAGAGCGGCCUUGUUCCUAUCAGCUAGUUGGUGGGGUAAUGGCCUACCAAGGCGAUGACGGGUAGGGGGCGUGAGAGCGCGACCCCCCACAAUGGCACUGAGACACGGGCCAUACAUCUACGGAUGGCAGCAACUGGGAAUAUUCGGCAAUGGGCGAAAGCCUGACCGAGCGACGCCGCGUGAGGGAUGAAGUAUUUCGGUAUGUAAACCUCUUUUACACUGCCGUCGAGGCAGUGAGAAUAAGCACCUACAAACUACGUGCCAGCAGUCGCGGUAAUACGUAGGGUGCAAGCGUUAUCCGGAUUUACUGGGCGUAAAGGGUCGUGUAGGUGGUUUUCCGCAUCGAACUUGAAAGCCCGAGGCUCAACCUCGGCGUUGGGUUCGAGAUGGGGAGACUUUGAGGGAGGCAGAGGUAAGGGGAACUCAUGGUGGAGCAGUGAAAUGCGUUGAUAUCAUGAGGAACACCAAAGGCGAAGGCACCUUACUGGGCCUCUUCUGACACUCAGACACGAAAGCUAGGGGAGCGAAGCAGAUUAGAGACCUGCGUAGUCCUAGCCCUAAACGCAUGUCUGCUAGUUACCUCUCGCAAGAGGGGCGACGUAAGCUAACGCGUUAAGCAGACCGCCUGGGGAGUACGAUCGCAAGAUUAAAACUCAAAGGAAUUGACGGGGACCCGCACAACCGGUGGAGCGUGUGGUUCAAUUCGAGACAAAGCGAAAGACCUUACCAGGUCUUGACAUCGUACCGUACAUUCUGGUGGAAACACUGGGAAAUCCGCAAGGAUGGUACGACAGCUGCUGCAUGGCAGCCGUCAGCUCGUGCCGUGGGGUGUUCCUUUAAGUAGGAGAACGAGCGCAACCCGUAUCCGAUGUUACAAGUGUCAUCGGAGACUGCCCCGCCUUCUGGCGGGGAGGAAGGAACGGACGACGACAUGUCAGCACGGCGCUUAUGACCUGGGUAACACACACCCUACAAUGGCGAAUAACAAUGGGACGCUAGCGGGCAACCGUAUGCAAAUCCCCUUUAAAUUUCGCCUCAGUUCAGAUUGGGGUCUGCAACCCGACCCCAUGAAGUCGGAAUCGGUAGUAAUCGCAGAUCAGCAGGCUGCGGUGAAUACGUUCUC
rnacentral:rRNA from 1 species